GACGAACGCUGGCGGCGUGCUUAACACAUGCCAGUCGAACGGAAAGGCCCUGCUUUUGUGGGGUGCUCGAGUGGCGAAAGGGUGAGUAACACGUGAGUAACCUGCCCUUGCCUUUGGGAUAACUUCAGGAAACUUGGGCUAAUACCGGAUAUGAGCUCCUGCUGCAUGGUGGGGGUUGGAAAGUUUCGGCGGUUGGGGAUGGACUCGCGGCUUAUCAGCUUGUUGGUGGGGUAGUGGCUUACCAAGGCGUUGACGGGUAGCCGGCCUGAGAGGGUGACCGGCCACAUUGGGACUGAGAUACGGCCCAGACUCCUACGGGAGGCAGCAGUGGGGAAUAUUGCACAAUGGGCGGAAGCCUGAUGCAGCAACGCCGCGUGCGGGAUGACGGCCUUCGGGUUGUAAACCGCUUUCGCCUGUGACGAAGCGUGAGUGACGGUAAUGGGUAAAGAAGCACCGGCUAACUACGUG
rnacentral:rRNA from 1 species